rnacentral:rRNA from 1 species
CAACACAUGCAAAGUCGAACGGACCUUCGGGGUUAGUGGCGGACGGGUGAGUAACACGUGGGAACGUGCCUUUAGGUUCGGAAUAGCUCCUGGAAACGGGUGGUAAUGCCGAAUGUGCCCUUCGGGGGAAAGAUUUAUCGCCUUUAGAGCGGCCCGCGUCUGAUUAGCUAGUUGGUGAGGUAACGGCUCACCAAGGCGACGAUCAGCAGCUGGUCUGAGAGGAUGACCAGCCACACUGGGACUGAGACACGGCCCAGACUCCUACGGGAGGCAGCAGUGGGGAAUCUUGCGCAAUGGGCGAAAGCCUGACGCAGCCAUGCCGCGUGAAUGAUGAAGGUCUUAGGAUUGUAAAAUUCUUUCACCGGGGACGAUAAUGACGGUACCCGGAGAAGAAGCCCCGGCUAACUUCGUGCCAGCAGCCGCGGUAAUACGAAGGGGGCUAGCGUUGCUCGGAAUUACUGGGCGUAAAGGGCGCGUAGGCGGAUCGUUAAGUCAGAGGUGAAAUCCCAGGGCUCAACCCUGGAACUGCCUUUGAUACUGGCGAUCUUGAGUAUGAGAGAGGUAUGUGGAACUCCGAGUGUAGAGGUGAAAUUCGUAGAUAUUCGGAAGACACCAGUGGCGAAGGCGACAUAUUGGCUCAUUACUGACGCUGAGGCGCGAAAGCGUGGGGAACAAACAGGAUUAGAUACCCUGAUAGUCCACGCCGUAAACGAUGAUUGCUAGUUGUCGGGCUGCAUGCAGUUCGGUGACGCAGCUAACGCAUUAAGCAAUCCGCCUGGG